CCAAAUUUGUAGCACAAAACCGAAAAAUUGUACCAAAUAAGCCAAAAUCCAAAUUAUCAAGAGAAAAAAAAUACAUAAUCCAUAUCAAAGAUCCAUAAAUUAAUGCUUACCCAGUUACCAGAAGUGAUCGAAAAUAAUAAAUUCAAUAUUGACUGACAUAGAUAUAUAGAAAUUACAUACAUGCGAGAAGCUGAAAUCAUAAAGAGGGGGAAAAUGAUCGAUCGAAAACCUUAGGGAUAUGAGGCGAUGAUUGUGACGCUGAUAGUGUUGAAGAGGGAGAAGACCGGUAGAAUUUGG
rnacentral:lncRNA from 1 species